UGGGGAAUAUUGCACAAUGGGCGAAAGCCUGAUGCAGCAACGCCGCGUGAGUGAUGAAGGCCUUCGGGUUGUAAAGCUCUGUCUUUUGGGACGAUAAUGACGGUACCAAAGGAGGAAGCCACGGCUAACUACGUGCCAGCAGCCGCGGUAAUACGUAGGUGGCAAGCGUUGUCCGGAUUUACUGGGCGUAAAGGAUGCGUAGGCGGAUUUUUAAGUGAGAUGUGAAAACCCUAAGCUUAACUUGGGGACUGCAUUUCAUACUGGAAAUCUAGAGUGCGGGAGAGGAGAAUGGAAUUCCUAGUGUAGCGGUGAAAUGCGUAGAGAUUAGGAAGAACACCAGUGGCGAAGGCGAUUCUCUGGACCGUAACUGACGCUGAGGCAUGAAAGCGUGGGUAGCAAACAGGAUUAGAUACCCUGGUAGUCCACGCCGUAAACGAUGAGUACUAGGUGUAGGAGGUAUCGACCCCUUCUGUGCCGCAGUUAACACAAUAAGUANUCCGCCUGGGAAGUACGAUCGCAAGAUUAAAACUCAAAUGAAUUGAC
rnacentral:rRNA from 1 species